rnacentral:tRNA from 1 species
GCCUGGGUGGCUCAGUCGGUAACGCGUCCGACUUCAGCUCGGGUCAUGAUCUCGCGGUUUGUGAGUUCGAGUCCCACAUCGGGCU